GAAGGUAGUUUUAUAUAUGUACACACACAUAUAUAUUUAUACAUAUAUAAAUUUUAAAGACAGGGCCUCAUUCUGUCAUCCAGGCUCAAGUGAUCCUCCUGCUUCAGAUCCUCCCAAGUAGCUAGGACUACAGAUGUGUGUUACCACUCCUAGCUAAUAUUUUAAUUUUUUGUAGAGAUAGGGUCUUGCUGUUACCCAGGCUGGUCUUGAACUGCUGGCCUCAAGUGAUCCUCCCGCCUCAGCCUCCUAAAGAGUUUUAUACAAUCUUAAAAUGCUAUUUCCUGCAUGAAACACAGUUCACAUGUGUUAAGUCCUUAUGUGUGGAAUUUUCCACUUGUGGUGUCAUGUCAGUGCUCAAAAACUUUUGGGUCUUGGAACAUUCUGGAUUUCAGAUUUUCGGAUUAGAGAUGCUCAACCUGUAGGUGGAUUUUCUAUUACUUAUAAACAGUGGAUACACUGAAGAACAAAACCAAGGCAGUUUGAGAGGCA
rnacentral:lncRNA from 10 species